AAAUUGAAGAGUUUGAUCAUGGCUCAGAUUGAACGCUGGCGGCAGGCCUAACACAUGCAAGUCGAGCGGUAGCACAGAGAGCUUGCUCUCGGGUGACGAGCGGCGGACGGGUGAGUAAUGUCUGGGAAACUGCCUGAUGGAGGGGGAUAACUACUGGAAACGGUAGCUAAUACCGCAUAACGUCGCAAGACCAAAGUGGGGGACCUUCGGGCCUCAUGCCAUCAGAUGUGCCCAGAUGGGAUUAGCUAGUAGGUGGGGUAACGGCUCACCUAGGCGACGAUCCCUAGCUGGUCUGAGAGGAUGACCAGCCACACUGGAACUGAGACACGGUCCAGACUCCUACGGGAGGCAGCAGUGGGGAAUAUUGCACAAUGGGCGCAAGCCUGAUGCAGCCAUGCCGCGUGUGUGAAGAAGGCCUUCGGGUUGUAAAGCACUUUCAGCGGGGAGGAAGGCGAUAAGGUUAAUAACCUUGUCGAUUGACGUUACCCGCAGAAGAAGCACCGGCUAA
rnacentral:rRNA from 1 species